rnacentral:rRNA from 1 species
CCCUUAGAUGUUCUGGGCCGCACGCGCGCUACACUGACGAAUGCAACGAGCUUAUAACCUUGGCCGAAAGGUCUGGGUAAUCUCCAAAUUUCGUCGUGAUGGGGAUAGAUUAUUGCAAUUAUUAAUCUUGAACGAGGAAUUCCUAGUAAACGCAAGUCAUCAGCUUGCAUUGAUUACGUCCCUGCCCUUUGUACACACCGCCCGUCGCACCUACCGAUUGAAUGACUCGGUGAAAUCCCCGGACUGCAGCCUUGACACCCUCGGGUGACUCGGCAGUGGAAAGCGGAUUAAACCUCGCCAUUUAGAGGAAGGUGAAGUCGUAACA